GCAGGUUCUGCUGGGCUGUCAUUGCUCUAUUUGUGCCCUUCACCACCCUCCAGGCACCUCUGGCAUCCUGCAGGGAGAGAAUCAUCCCCCCCCACAUGUUGGCACCGGAGCUGACGUUCCCCAAAUGUGCCACCACCACAGCAGUGUCCAUGGGAAGCACCUGCACCUCUUCCAGGUUAUUUUCCACAGGAAAAUAACUCCAGGCUGCAGGUUUUAGAGCAAAUAUCAUCAUCUGUUUUAUUUUAAAUCUCGCCUUUGCUUUCUCGGUGCUUAUAUCGAGAUUCAUAAAAAUGCCACCUUAAAGUUCUA